UUCAAUAAACAAAAACAUAAU
rnacentral:piRNA from 1 species